AGAGUUUGAUCCUGGCUCAGGAUGAACGCUGGCGGCGUGCCUAACACAUGCAAGUCGAGCGAGAUGUUUAUGGAACGAGUUUUCGGAUGAGUAAAGUAAACGGAAAGCGGCGGACGGGUGAGUAACGCGUAGGCAACCUGCCCCAUACAGAGGGAUAGCCUCGAGAAAUCGGGAUUAAAACCUCAUAAUGCCAAAGAAUCACAUGGUUCAUUGGUCAAAGAUUUAUCGGUAUGGGAUGGGCCUGCGUCUGAUUAGCUAGUUGGUGAGGUAACGGCUCACCAAGGCUGCGAUCAGUAGCAGAACUGAGAGGUUCAUCUGCCACAUUGGAACUGAGACACGGCCCAGACUCCUACGGGAGGCAGCAGCGGGGGAUAUUGGACAAUGGGGGAAACCCUGAUCCAGCGAUGCCGCGUGAGGGAAGAAGGUUUUCGGAUUGUAAACCUCUGUGGACAGGGACGAUAAUGACGGUACCUGUUUAGAAAGCCACGGCUAACUACGUGCCAGCAGCCGCGGUAAUA
rnacentral:rRNA from 1 species